rnacentral:rRNA from 1 species
UACGGAGGGGGCGAGCGUUAUUCGGAAUUAUUGGGCGUAAAGAGCGUGUAGGCGGUCCGGUAAGUCAGCUGUGAAAGUCAAGGGCUCAACCCUUGAAAGCCGGUUGAUACUGUCGGGCUAGAGUCCGGAAGAGGCGAGUGGAAUUCCCGGUGUAGCGGUGAAAUGCGCAGAUAUCGGGAGGAACACCAAUGGCGAAGGCAGCUCGCUGGGACGGUACUGACGCUGAGACGCGAAAGCGUGGGGAGCAAACAGG